UGGAAGUUGUCAGGUUGUCAGG
rnacentral:piRNA from 1 species